CCUUUGGAGAACUAUAUCAAAGAAGAGUAGUUUACUCUUUUGAGUUCGAUGAAUAAGGAA
rnacentral:sRNA from 1 species